UUAAGGAAACAAGGGUGCACGGUGGAUGCCUUGGCACUAGGAGCCGAUGAAGGACGCGGCUAACGGCGAAACGCUACGGGGAGCUGUAAGCAAGCAAAGAUCCGUAGGUCUCCGAAUGGGGGAACCCACUAGCCGAAAGGGCUAGUACCAUAUGGUGAAUCUAUAGCCAUAUGGAGGGAACCCGGUGAACUGAAACAUCUUAGUAACCGGAGGAAAAGAAAGCAAUAGCGAUUCCCUAAGUAGAGGCGAUCGAACGGGGAACAGCCUGUCACAUAGUGGAGUUACAAAACCUUAGUAUAGCUGAAUCGGAUGGGAAGCCGAACGAAACAAGGUGAUAGUCCUGUAAGCGAAAUACUAAGGUCUCCCGUGACGACAAGUAGGGCGGGGCACGUGAAAUCCUGUCUGAAGAUGCGAGGACCAUCUCGUAAGGCUAAAUACUACCUAGUGACCGAUAGUGAACCAGUACCGUGAGGGAAAGGUGAAAAGAACCCUUGGCAGGGAGUGAAAUAGAACCUGAAACCGUGUACCUACAAGUAGUCAGAGCCCGUAAAUGGGUGAUGGCGUGCCUUUUGUAGAAUGAACCGGCGAGUUACGAUAACGUGCGAGGUUAAGCUUUAAGGAGCGGAGCCGUAGCGAAAGCGAGUCUGAAGAGGGCGAUAGUACGUUGUCGUAGACCCGAAACCGGGUGAUCUAGCCAUGAGCAGGUUGAAACUUGGGUAAAGCCAGGUGGAGGACCGAACCGUAGUCUGUUGAAAAAGACUCGGAUGACUUGUGGCUAGGGGUGAAAUUCCAAACGAACUCGGAGAUAGCUGGUUCUCCCCGAAAUAGCUGUAGGGCUAGCGUUGUAGUAAGUUUUGUGGGGGUAGAGCUCUGAAUGUGUGAUGGCCUCACCUCGAGGUACUGAUCACAAUCAAACUGCGAAUACCACAAAAUAUAUACAGCAGUCAGACUAUGGGUGAUAAGAUCCAUAGUCGAGAGGGAAACAGCCCAGAUCGCCAGUUAAGGUCCCAAAAUCUAUGCUAAGUGGGAAAGGAUGUGGAGUUGCAUAAACAACUAGGAGGUUGGCUUAGAAGCAGCCAUCCUUUAAAGAGUGCGUAAUAGCUCACUAGUCGAGUGAUUCUGCGCCGAAAAUGUAACGGGGCUAAGCAUAGUACCGAAACUGCGGAAUUGGUGAUAAACCAAUUGGUAGGGGAGCGUACUUAGUGCGGUGAAGGUAGACCGUAAGGUAUGCUGGAGCGCUAAGUAGUGAGAAUGCCGGUGUGAGUAACGAAAAGACAGGUGAGAAUCCUGUCCGUCGAAAGCCUAAGGUUUCCAGAGGUAAGGUUCGUCCGCUCUGGGUUAGUCGGGGCCUAAGGUCAGGCUGAAAAGCGUAGCCGAUGGACAACGGGUUGAUAUUCCCGUACCACCUAUUACGUCCGAUGGAAUGACGAAGAAGGCUAGCUAGAGCCAUUAGUGGUAUGAUGGUCUAAGUACAAAGGUGGGCAUGUAGGCAAAUCCGCAUGCUAAUAACACUGAAGUACGAGUUAAAUCUAGUGAAGCCAGGCUUCCGAGAAAAGUUUCUAGGGUUAAGUAAUAGGUGCCCGUACCGCAAACCGACACAGGUAGGCGAGGAGAGAAUCCACAGACGCGCGAGACAACUCUUGUUAAGGAACUCGGCAAAAUGACCCCGUAACUUAGGGAGAAGGGGUGCUUACCGAAAGGUAAGCCGCAGAGAAUAGGCCCAAACGACUGUUUACCAAAAACACAGGUCUCUGCUAAAGCGCAAGCUGAAGUAUAGGGGCUGACGCCUGCCCAGUGCUGGAAGGUUAAGAGGAGAUGUUAGGGUGAAAACUCGAAGCAUUGAAUCGAAGCCCCAGUAAACGGCGGCCGUAACUAUAACGGUCCUAAGGUAGCGAAAUUCCUUGUCGGGUAAGUUCCGACCU
rnacentral:rRNA from 1 species